CGCGUAGGCGGCCUGUCAAGUCAGAUGUGAAAGCCCACGGCUCAACCGUGGAAGUGCAUCUGAAACUGGCAGGCUUGAGUACUGGAGAGGAAAGUGGAAUUCCUGGUGUAGAGGUGAAAUUCGUAGAUAUCAGGAGGAAUACCGGUGGCGAAGGCGACUUUCUGGACAGAUACUGACGCUGAGGCGCGAAAGCGUGGGGAGCAAACAGGAUUAGAUACCCUGGUAGUCC
rnacentral:rRNA from 1 species